AACGAACGCUGGCGGCAUGCCUAACACAUGCAAGUCGAACGCGUGUAGCAAUACACGAGUGGCGCACGGGUGAGUAACGCGUGGGAACCUGCCCAGUGGUAGGGAAUAACUGCGGGAAACUGCAGCUAAUACCCUAUACGCCCUACGGGGGAAAGUUUUUCGCCAUUGGAGGGGCCCGCGUCGGAUGAGCGAGUUGGUGAGGUAAGAGCUUACCAAGGGGACGCUCCGUAGCUGGUCUGAGAGGAUGAUCAGCCACACUGGGACUGAGACACGGCCCCGACUCCUACGGGAGGCAGGAGUUGGGAAUAUUGGACAAUGGGGGCAACCCUGAUCCAGCAAUGCCGCGUGCGUGAUGAAGGCCUUAGGGUUGUAAGGCUCUUUCGGCGGGGACGAUGAUGACGGUACCCGUAGAAGAAGGCCCGGCUAACUUCGUGCCAGCCGCCGCCGUAAAAC
rnacentral:rRNA from 1 species